GUGCCUCUAGCUCAAUGGCAGAGCGCUGGUCUGUGGAACCAGUGGUUGCGGGUUCGAAUCCCGUGAGGCACCCCG
rnacentral:tRNA from 1 species